CUGCCCACAGUCAUGAUGCGGAACUCCACUGUGGGCAGAACUGUGCUGCCCCCGGGUUCCACUGCUGCCUGGCGAUCACUGCAUCUGCAGACCUUCAGAAGCACUUGUGCUCCGUAUCUGGCUCACAGUGACUUGACUCUCCCGCUCUCCCCAGUAGCUCAGGACUCCCACUCUCCCCAGUUCCCCAACUCUCCCACUCUCCCCAGUACCCCGGUAAAUAAAGAGGAGGCGCUCACACAGCAACAGGUCACAGCACCAUGCAGGAGGACUCGGAAACCCUGCUGGCCUUGCAAAGGACCAAUGUCGUGGCCCAGUACCAUCAGAUUCAUUCUUCGACUCCAUGAGACAAGAACCUGACUUUCUCACUUCAUUCUGCCUGCUGCACUUCUCUUACCCAAGCUCCCUGGGAAAUUACUUCAUUGGCUUAAUCCCAUCUCACUCUCCUCCUGCCUCACAAAUACUUGAAACCGACAGAGUGGGAGAUUCUUCAAAGAAUUCACAGCUGCCUGGAUGUUAAUGCUUUGCUAGAGGCCAAAAGCAACAUUUGUUCGCUGAUAGCCAGACCUCCAGGAUCCUGUAAAUCUUUCAAGUGUGAAAAUCCUUUUGGAAACUUCUUUUAUCUCUAGAGUCCCCACCCCACACAGCAACUUUAAAGUUUAUAACCAAGGCUCCUCAUAAUCCUGGUGAAGCUCUUCAUGCCCAGGGGUCCUGUCCCCAUACUUUAAUAAAAACACAUUUUUGCAUGGAAAAUGUCUCAAGGAUUCUCUCUUGACCACUAGCUCCUGGCCCACAGUACAUCACAGGUACAUCUCUGAGUUAAUUGCAUCAGCACAUCAAGAAAGUACAGAAGAUUUUUGCCUAUCUUCUUGUAUGACACAUUCUGGAGGGGGACAUUCCCAUCUGUUCUAUCUGGAUUUUUCUCUUCCUGGGAUAUAGCUAGCUAGCUAGGUAGAUGAUAGAGUGAUAGAUCUACUGAUAGAUCAAUCCCAGGAACAUAAAUAGAUGUUUAUAUAAACAAACAUAUAAACAUAAAUCUAUGUUUCGAUUUAAUAGAUUUAUUAUUCAAUGUAUUACUGAUAAUAUAAUUAUUAUCUAUAAACAGAACUAUAUAUUUAAAUAUGCAAAAUAAAUAUUUCUAUAUCUAAUCUCUAUAAGUCCAUAUAUAGAUCUCCCUAUAGAGAUAGAGACAAAAUGGUUAGAAAUAGAUGUGUGCAGAAAGAGAGAGAAAUAGUUAUAGACCUAUAAAUAUGGAGAGGAUCUGCUUUCAAAUUCUAUCCAACAACCUCUCCUCACAGGCACAGGCAAACGCACACACACAUACUCAAGAGCUUUCUGAUAUGUGGCCAUGACAAGAAAUAACACCCCUUGAGAUGCCAUCUCUUCUCCAACUUAAAGGUACCAACCGUUUCUCCAAAGAAGACCUACACAGAGCGAGCAAGCACAUGAAAAAAUGCUCCACAUCACUUUUCAUCAGGGAGAUAGAAAUCAAAACCACAAUGAGAUACCACCUCACACCAGUGAG